UACAUGGGGUGCAACGUUGCUCGGAAUUAUUGGGCGUAAAGCGCACGUAGGCGGUUCGUUAAGUCGGAUGUGAAAGCCCUCGGCUCAACUGAGGAAGUGCACCCGAAACUGGCGAGCUUGAGUACGAAAGAGGAUCGCGGAAUUCCCGGUGUAGAGGUGAAAUUCGUAGAUAUCAGGAGGAACACCGGUGGCGAAGGCGGCUCUCUGGGACGGUACUGACGCUGAGACGCGAAAAGCGUGGGGAGCGAACAGG
rnacentral:rRNA from 1 species